GACGAACGCUGGCGGCGUGCUUAACACAUGCAAGUCGAACGGAAAGGCCCUGCUUUUGUGGGGUGCUCGAGUGGCGAACGGGUGAGUAACACGUGAGUAACCUGCCCUUGACUUUGGGAUAACUUCAGGAAACCGGGGCUAAUACCGGAUAGGAGCUCCUGCUGCAUGGUGGGGGUUGGAAAGUUUCGGCGGUUGGGGAUGGACUCGCGGCUUUCAGCUUGUUGGUGGGGUAGUGGCUUACCAAGGCUUUGACGGGUAGCCGGCCUGAGAGGGUGACCGGCCACAUUGGGGCUGAGAUACGGCCCAGACUCCUACGGGAGGCAGCAGUGGGGAAUAUUGCACAAUGGGCGGAAGCCUGAUGCAGCAACGCCGCGUGCGGGAUGACGGCCUUCGGGUUGUAAACCGCUUUCGCCUGUGACGAAGCGUGAGUGACGGUAAUGGGUAAAGAAGCACCGGCUAACUACGUG
rnacentral:rRNA from 1 species